rnacentral:rRNA from 1 species
UACGUAGGGCGCAAGCGUUGUCCGGAAUUAUUGGGCGUAAAGAGCGUGUAGGCGGUUCGGUAAGUCUGCCGUGAAAACCUGGGGCUCAACCCCGGGCGUGCGGUGGAUACUGCCGGGCUAGAGGGUGGUAGAGGCGAGUGGAAUUCCCGGUGUAGCGGUGAAAUGCGCAGAUAUCGGGAGGAACACCAGUAGCGAAGGCGGCUCGCUGGGCCAUUCCUGACGCUGAGACGCGAAAGCUAGGGGAGCGAACAGG